GUGUUUGCUUCAGCACCACAUAUACUAAAAUUGGAACGAUACAGAGAAGAUUAGCAUGAUCCCUGUGCAAGGAUGACACGCAAAUUUGUAAAGUGUAAAAAAAAAAA